rnacentral:rRNA from 1 species
ACGGGAGGCAGCAGUGGGGAAUCUUGCGCAAUGGGCGAAAGCCUGACGCAGCGACGCCGCGUGGGGGAAGAAGGCCUUCGGGUUGUAAACCUCUUUCAGCAGGGACGAAGCCACUCGGGUGAAUAGCCCAGAGGGUGACGGUACCUGCAGAAGAAGCCCCGGCUAACUACGUGCCAGCAGCCGCGGUAAUACGUAGGGGGCAAGCGUUGUCCGGAUUUAUUGGGCGUAAAGAGCGUGUAGGCGGCCAGACAGGUCCGUUGUGAAAACUAGAGGCUCAACCUCUAGACGUCGAUGGAAACCGUCUGGCUAGAGUCCGGAAGAGGAGAGUGGAAUUCCUGGUGUAGCGGUGAAAUGCGCAGAUAUCAGGAAGAACACCCGUGGCUAAGGCGGCUCUCUAGUACGGUACUGACGCUGAGACGCGAAAGCGUGGGGAGCGAACAGGAUUAGAUACCCUGGUA